ACAUCAAUCAAAUUCAAUCAAAAUUGUAAAAGAGUUAUAUAAGAAACACAAAGUAUUCCUUAAGACUAUUUAAAAAAAUCAUAAAGAAAUAAUAUAAGAAUUCAAAAUAUACUAAAAUAGAAAUCUUAAUUAAAUCCUAAUCAAAUCCUAACCAAAUUCUAAAAAAACCUUAGUCAAAUCCUAAUCAAUCUUAAAUAAAUCCUAGUCAAAUUGUAACAAAUCAUAAUCAAACUCUAACUAAAUUUUAAACAAAAUUUAAUCAAAUCCUAACCAAAAUCUAUUUAAAUCCUAAUCAAAUUCUAACAAACUCUAGUAAAAUCUUAAACAAAUUCUAAUCAAAUCUUUAUCAAAUCCUAAUCAAAUUCUAAUCAAACUCUAACCAAAUCUUAGUCAAAUCUUAACCAAAUCCUAAUCAAAUUCUAACCAAACUCUAGUCAAAUCCUAAUAAAAUCCUAAUCAAUCCUAAAUCAAAUCCUCACAAAUCCUAAUCAAAUCCUAAUCAAAUCCUAAUCAAAUCUUAAACAUAUCUUAAUCAAAUCCUAACCAAAUUUUAAAAAAAUUAUAAUCAAAUCCUAACCAAAUCCUAACUAAAUCCUAAUCAAAUUCUAAUCAAUUCUAAAUAAACCAUAGUCAAAUCCUAAAAAAUCCUAAUCAAAUCCUAAAUAAACCAUAAUCAAAUCCUAGUCAAAUCCUAAACAAAUCCUAAUCAAAUC
rnacentral:lncRNA from 1 species